GACGAACGCUGGCGGCGUGCUUAACACAUGCAAGUCGAACGAGUGGCGAACGGGUGAGUAAUACGUGGGUAACCUGCCCUCUCUUUGGGAUAAGACUUGGAAACGGGGUCUAAUACCGCAUAAAGGGGGAUGGGCUCGCGGCCUCUCGGCUUGUUGGUGGGGUGAUGGCCUACCAAGGCGGCGACGGGUAUCCGGCCUGAGAGGGUGACCGGCCACAGUGGGACUGAGAGACGGCCAAGACACGUACGGGAGGCAACAGUGGGGGAAAUUGCACAAGGGGGGAAAGCCUAAUGCAGCGACGCCGCGUGGGGGAUGAAGGCGUACGGGUUGUAAACCGCUGUCGCUAGCGAACGGGUAGGUGGAUAAGAAGCGCCGGCUAACUACGUGCCAGCAGCCGCGGUAAUUC
rnacentral:rRNA from 1 species